rnacentral:rRNA from 1 species
GAUUAAGUUAUUAAGGGCGCACGGUGGAUGCCUUGGCACUAGAAGCCGAUGAAGGACGUUACUAACGACGAUAUGCUUUGGGGAGCUGUAAGUAAGCUUUGAUCCAGAGAUUUCCGAAUGGGGAAACCCAGCAUGAGUUAUGUCAUGUUAUCGAUAUGUGAAUACAUAGCAUAUCAGAAGGCACACCCGGAGAACUGAAACAUCUUAGUACCCGGAGGAAGAGAAAGAAAAUUCGAUUCCCUUAGUAGCGGCGAGCGAAACGGGAAGAGCCCAAACCAACAAGCUUGCUUGUUGGGGUUGUAGGACACUCUAUACGGAGUUACAAAGGACGACAUUAGACGAAUCAUCUGGAAAGAUGAAUCAAAGAAGGUAAUAAUCCUGUAGUCGAAAAUGUUGUCUCUCUUGAGUGGAUCCUGAGUACGACGGAGCACGUGAAAUUCCGUCGGAAUCUGGGAGGACCAUCUCCUAAGGCUAAAUACUCUCUAGUGACCGAUAGUGAACCAGUACCGUGAGGGAAAGGUGAAAAGCACCCCGGAAGGGGAGUGAAAUAGAACCUGAAACCGUGUGCUUACAAGUAGUCAGAGCCCGUUAAUGGGUGAUGGCGUGCCUUUUGUAGAAUGAACCGGCGAGUUACGAUUUGAUGCAAGGUUAAGCAGUAAAUGUGGAGCCGUAGCGAAAGCGAGUCUGAAUAGGGCGUUUAGUAUUUGGUCGUAGACCCGAAACCAGGUGAUCUACCCUUGGUCAGGUUGAAGUUCAGGUAACACUGAAUGGAGGACCGAACCGACUUACGUUGAAAAGUGAGCGGAUGAACUGAGGGUAGCGGAGAAAUUCCAAUCGAACCUGGAGAUAGCUGGUUCUCUCCGAAAUAGCUUUAGGGCUAGCCUCAAGUGAUGAUUAUUGGAGGUAGAGCACUGUUUGGACGAGGGGCCCUCUCGGGUUACCGAAUUCAGACAAACUCCGAAUGCCAAUUAAUUUAACUUGGGAGUCAGAACAUGGGUGAUAAGGUCCGUGUUCGAAAGGGAAACAGCCCAGACCACCAGCUAAGGUCCCAAAAUAUAUGUUAAGUGGAAAAGGAUGUGGCGUUGCCCAGACAACUAGGAUGUUGGCUUAGAAGCAGCCAUCAUUUAAAGAGUGCGUAAUAGCUCACUAGUCGAGUGACACUGCGCCGAAAAUGUACCGGGGCUAAACAUAUUACCGAAGCUGUGGAUUGUCCUUUGGACAAUGGUAGGAGAGCGUUCUAAGGGCGUUGAAGCAUGAUCGUAAGGACAUGUGGAGCGCUUAGAAGUGAGAAUGCCGGUGUGAGUAGCGAAAGACGGGUGAGAAUCCCGUCCACCGAUUGACUAAGGUUUCCAGAGGAAGGCUCGUCCGCUCUGGGUUAGUCGGGUCCUAAGCUGAGGCCGACAGGCGUAGGCGAUGGAUAACAGGUUGAUAUUCCUGUACCACCUAUAAUCGUUUUAAUCGAUGGGGGGACGCAGUAGGAUAGGCGAAGCGUGCGAUUGGAUUGCACGUCUAAGCAGUAAGGCUGAGUAUUAGGCAAAUCCGGUACUCGUUAAGGCUGAGCUGUGAUGGGGAGAAGACAUUGUGUCUUCGAGUCGUUGAUUUCACACUGCCGAGAAAAGCCUCUAGAUAGAAAAUAGGUGCCCGUACCGCAAACCGACACAGGUAGUCAAGAUGAGAAUUCUAAGGUGAGCGAGCGAACUCUCGUUAAGGAACUCGGCAAAAUGACCCCGUAACUUCGGGAGAAGGGGUGCUCUUUAGGGUUAACGCCCAGAAGAGCCGCAGUGAAUAGGCCCAAGCGACUGUUUAUCAAAAACACAGGUCUCUGCUAAACCGUAAGGUGAUGUAUAGGGGCUGACGCCUGCCCGGUGCUGGAAGGUUAAGAGGAGUGGUUAGCUUCUGCGAAGCUACGAAUCGAAGCCCCAGUAAACGGCGGCCGUAACUAUAACGGUCCUAAGGUAGCGAAAUUCCUUGUCGGGUAAGUUCCGACCCGCACGAAAGGCGUAACGAUUUGGGCACUGUCUCAACGAGAGACUCGGUGAAAUCAUAGUACCUGUGAAGAUGCAGGUUACCCGCGACAGGACGGAAAGACCCCGUGGAGCUUUACUGUAGCCUGAUAUUGAAAUUCGGCACAGCUUGUACAGGAUAGGUAGGAGCCUUUGAAACGUGAGCGCUAGCUUACGUGGAGGCGCUGGUGGGAUACUACCCUAGCUGUGUUGGCUUUCUAACCCGCACCACUUAUCGUGGUGGGAGACAGUGUCAGGCGGGCAGUUUGACUGGGGCGGUCGCCUCCUAAAAGGUAACGGAGGCGCUCAAAGGUUCCCUCAGAAUGGUUGGAAAUCAUUCAUAGAGUGUAAAGGCAUAAGGGAGCUUGACUGCGAGACCUACAAGUCGAGCAGGGUCGAAAGACGGACUUAGUGAUCCGGUGGUUCCGCAUGGAAGGGCCAUCGCUCAACGGAUAAAAGCUACCCCGGGGAUAACAGGCUUAUCUCCCCCAAGAGUUCACAUCGACGGGGAGGUUUGGCACCUCGAUGUCGGCUCAUCGCAUCCUGGGGCUGUAGUCGGUCCCAAGGGUUGGGCUGUUCGCCCAUUAAAGCGGUACGCGAGCUGGGUUCAGAACGUCGUGAGACAGUUCGGUCCCUAUCCGUCGUGGGCGUAGGAAAUUUGAGAGGAGCUGUCCUUAGUACGAGAGGACCGGGAUGGACAUACCUCUGGUGUACCAGUUGUCGUGCCAACGGCAUAGCUGGGUAGCUAUGUGUGGACGGGAUAAGUGCUGAAAGCAUCUAAGCAUGAAGCCCCCUCAAGAUGAGAUUUCCCAACUUCGGUUAUAAGAUCCCUCAAAGAUGAUGAGGUUAAUAGGUUCGAGGUGGAAGCAUGGUGACAUGUGGAGCUGACGAAUACUAAUCGAUCGAAGACUUAAUCAA